rnacentral:rRNA from 2 species
UAAUACAUGCAAGUCGAGCGGACAGAAGGGAGCUUGCUCCCGGAUGUUAGCGGCGGACGGGUGAGUAACACGUGGGUAACCUGCCUGUAAGACUGGGAUAACUCCGGGAAACCGGAGCUAAUACCGGAUAGUUCCUUGAACCGCAUGGUUCAAGGAUGAAAGACGGUUUCGGCUGUCACUUACAGAUGGACCCGCGGCGCAUUAGCUAGUUGGUGAGGUAACGGCUCACCAAGGCGACCAUGCGUAGCCCACCUGAGAGGGUGAUCGGCCCCCCUGGGACUGAGACACGGCCCAGACUCCUACGGGAGGCAGCAGUAGGGAAUCUUCCCCAAUGGACGAAAGUCUGACGGAGCAACCCCCCGUGAGUGAUGAAGGUUUUCGGAUCGUAAAGCUCUGUUGUUAGGGAAGAACAAGUGCAAGAGUAACUGCUUGCACCUUGACGGUACCUAACCAGAAAGCCACGGCUAACUACGUGCCAGCAGCCGCGGUAAUACGUAAGUGGCAAGCGUUGUCCGGAAUUAUUGGGCGUAAAGGGCUCGCAAGCGGUUUCUUAAGUCUGAUGUGAAAGCCCCCCGCUCAACCCGGGAGGGUCAUUGGAAACUGGGAAACUUGAGUGCCGAAGAAGAGAGUGGAAUUCCACGUGUAGCGGUGAAAUGCGUAGAGAUGUGGAGGAACACCCGUGGCGAAAGCGACUCUCUGGGCUGUAACUGACGCNNAAGAGCGAAAGCGUGGGGAGCGAACAGGAUUAGAUACCCUGGUAGUCCACGCCNNUAACCAUGAGUGCUAAAUGUUAGGGGGGUUCCGCCCCNACUGCUGCAGCUAAAGCAUUAAGAACUCCGCCUGGGGAGAACAGUCGCAGACUGAAACUCCCAGGANNUGACGGGGGCCCCCCCAACCGUGGAGCAUGUGGUUUAUU